CAGCCCACCCAAAAUUUAAUUCUGAUGAAGCAGAGGUGGAUCUCUCAAGCCCAGGCCCUUUGUUUUUUCCAGCAGAAUCAAAGGGGCUUAUGUGUGCUAGGGUCCUCUUUGAACCCAGAUAUUCAACUGGAUGUCGAUGGUAUGGGGUACCUGAUGCUGCUAUUGAUGCUGUUAUAGAAGGUGCUAUGUCGUUACAGGGUGCUUUCUUCUCAAUCUGUGUCUAUAUGGGGUGCUACUUCGCUGUUCUGUUCUGAUCUUUUCAUAUUCAUCAGACUUUGUAUCAUUUAGAUACUUAAUAAAAUUGCUUCUGAUUGAGAGAAAAAAACAACUAGAUUAAUGCUACUAAAAUGCAAAAAAAAAAAAUCAAGACAAUCA
rnacentral:lncRNA from 1 species